GUGUGUGGAACGGAACGCAGAGCCAGAGGAGGAAACUGCCACCAUGGGGGCGGGGGCCCAGCGGGCAGGUUCCCCUGAGUCUGACCCCUAGGGUGGCAUCCGGGUGACGCCCUUCUUCCUUGGGCUUCUCAGAACUUAGCUCCACACGCCACCACCAGCCCUGGGCCAGCCCCUAUUUGCUCUGCCUUGUUCACCGACUGGACUCCGGUCAGCUGAUCUGCACCCUUAGUCUUGAUCAAGCCCAUAGAUGGUGGUACACUUGCUAGGCCUCUGCCAGGGGCUCCAUAUCCCCUCCACCUGACAGCCGAAGUCUCUCUAGGAUCUUACCCCUCCCCUUGGAUGGCAGGCUGCUCCUUUUGCAGCCUUGGCCUUGGACGUCCAACUCCUUGACUGGACUGCUCUUCACCCCCACUCACCCCUAUCUCCAGUCACUUUCUCAGUGAGACCCACCCCACAACUUAAAUCGUAACACCCCCUACACAUACCCUCCCUCUCCCUUGAAUUAAUACACGGUGCAGCAUUCUCACUUAUCCACCUCACAAACAUGCACAGCAAAGCGUCUCCAAGCUCCAUGGGGGCAUCGAUUUUUAAUGUUUUCACUGUGGAAAAUUUCAAACAUAAAUGCUAAAGUAGACAAAACAGUAUGAUGAGCCCAACGUCCCAUCACCCAGUUUCAGCAAUGCUCGACCCUUGGCCUGGCUUAUUCCGUCUCUGCCCCACCUUCACACAUACCACAUUUGCCUGUAAAUGCUGCCAAAAUAGACGCACUUUUAAAGAAUUUAACCACACUACCAUUAUCACCUAAAAAUUUAGUAGUCUUCAAACCAAAUAAACGGCCCCUGUCCAGAAUUCCCCAGUUGUCUCACUUCAUACAGCUGUUGUUUUUAAACAUCAGAAUCCAGAGUCUAAAAAAGGCAAUGUGUUAAUAUGCCCCAAGCUUUAUGAAUAACACUCUCUUUCGUUUUAAUUUCUUGUUGAAGCAACUUCUUGUUGCUUACCGUGUAGAAUGUACCACAUCCUGGCUCCAGUGGGCUGGGUCCCCAGGUUGCCUGGCUAUCCUUCUGUGCCAGUAUUUCCUGCAAGCCCGUAAUGGACACAGAGAUUGCCCCAUGUCAGGUUCGCUUUUCAGCAAGAGCACAUCCUCACUGGGCUUCCCGGCAUGUCUCCUGGGAGCUUUCUCAAGGAUGUUGCCCUUGACCAAGGGUCCAGGGCUGUCCAAGGCUGCUUUUACUUUCCCCACUUCCCUGUAUCUGUCAGCUGGGUGUUUCUCUAAGAACCUUCUUGUCAACUGUGUGGUUACUGUUCGUUCAGGAAAAGCAGGAUAAAUGCCUACUGCUUUCCUUUCCUUACCCAUUUUUUUGAGUAACGAGUUGGUUUCCAGCAUUUCCCAAAGGUGACUGAGAGCUCUUUAUUCCCCCCCCACCAAGUUUUCUUUCUUUUCUGGAUAGUCGUGGACUCAUGCAUUGUAAUUUAUUUAUCGCGUUUCAACCCAUUUCAGUCACUAUACUUCCUGAUGCUCUCCUGUCCCGCCUGUGGCCAGGGCGGGGUCCCUUCCCAUCAGCUGCGUGUCAUUGGAUGAGAGUCAGGAUGGCCCAGGCUCACAUGGGUGCCCAACCCUGGCAGCCCAGGCCCCAAAUAAGGACCAGUGCAAGAGUGGGCUGUGGGCCCGAGGGGACAAGCACACGUGAGAGCCUCAUUUCCAGACAAAGCCCCGUGCUUCUUCAUGAGCUUGCAUGGGGCUCCUGCAACGCUCUUUCUUCUGGAGGGUUUUUGGCUCCGUGGGCUCCACAGCUUCCCAGCCCGGCUCCCAAGGCCCGCAAACCACCCUCGACACCUGCACCAGACCGCACGCUCCACGCUCCGUGCUUCUGAGCUUCCGAAAUGUUUCUAAAACCAAACAAAGCCAGACACUGGCACUGGCGCUGCCUCCUUGAUGCCAUCCUGGUGUGUCAAUUCACUCCUCCCGCAGGUGCCACAGUUUCAGUCAGAGGGCCGCCUACCCUCCUCUGCCGCGUCCCCCCCUCCACUCCAGAUUCCCAUCACACUGUCAGCCUCCACGUCCCGUCCCAGGGACCCUCCUCCGCAGCCAGCAGACUGGUGAGGACCUGCGUCCAUUCCACUCUGCUCUCAGAGGCUCCCUCCGCAUUACCCAGCUGUGCUCGGCCUCCUGAGCCCAGGUCUCCACGUCGGGGAGGCUGGAGCCUCCUUGCCUCUCCGCCUCCCCAUGGGCCUGCCCCUCUGCUUCCACUGGGGCCUCAGGAUGCCCCUUUCUGCUGCCUGUCCUGUGACCCCUCCCCAACACAGCAAACUUUUCCACAUUUCUUUGUUAAAAUA